GGGCUGCAGUAUUUUGACUGUACAAAGGUAGCAUAAUCAAUAGUCUCUUAAUUGGUGACUUGUAUGAAAGAUUGGAUGAGAUAUAUACUGUCUCUUGUUAAUUUAUAGAAAUUAAUUUUUUAGUAAAAAAGCUAAAAUAAUUUUAAAAGACGAGAAGACCCUAUAGAGUUUAAUAAUUUAUUUAAUUAUUAUUAAUAUAUAAUUUUUAAAAUUAAAAUUAAAUAAAUUAUUUUGUUGGGGUGAUAGAAAAAUUAAAUUAACUUUUUUUAAUUAUUUACAUUAAUUUAUGGUUAAAUGAUCCAUUUAUAAUGAUUAAAAGAAAAAAUUACCUUAGGGAUAACAGCGUAAUUUUUUUUUUUAGUUCAAAUAGGAAGGAAAGUUUGCGACCUCGAUGUUGGAUUAA
rnacentral:rRNA from 1 species